AAGUGUGUGAAGGAGUGGUUUUAUCUGAAGCAGUGGAAACAAGGAAACACUUGAUUUGGUAAAACUAUAAA
rnacentral:sRNA from 10 species